CCCGUGUGAAGCUCCUUCGACGAGUCGAGUUGUGUGGGAAUGCAGCUCUAAUUGGGUGGUAAAUUUCAUCUAAAGCUAAAUAUUGGCCGGAGACCGAUAGCGCACAAGUAGAGUGAUCGAAAGAUGAAAAGCACUUUGAAAAGAGAGUUCAACAGCACGUGAAAUUGUUGAAAGGGAAGCGCUUGCGAUCAGACUCGCUCGCGGGGUUCAGCCGGCCUUCGGGCCGGUGUACUUCCCCGCGGGCGGGCCAGCGUCGGUUUGGGCGGCCGGUCAAAGGCCCCUGGAAUGUAACGCCUCUCGGGGCGUCUUAUAGCCAGGGGUGCCAUGCGGCCUGCCCGGACCGAGGAACGCGCUUCGGCUCGGACGCUGGCAUAAUGGUCGUAAGCGACCCGUCUUGAAACACGGACCAAGGAGUCUAACAUCUACGCGAGUGUUCGGGUGUCAAACCCGUGCGCGCAGUGAAAGCGAACGGAGGUGGGAACCCCUCGGGGUGCACCAUCGACCGAUCCUGAUGUCUUCGGAUGGAUUUGAGUAAGAGCGUAGCUGUUGGGACCCGAAAGAUGGUGAACUAUGCCUGAAUAGGGCGAAGCCAGAGGAAACUCUGGUGGAGGCUCGCAGCGGUUCUGACGUGCAAAUCGAUCGUCAUCAUUUGGGUAUAGGGA
rnacentral:rRNA from 1 species